rnacentral:rRNA from 1 species
UGGGGAAUCUUGGACAAUGGGGGCAACCCUGAUCCAGCCAUGCCGCGUGAGUGAUGAAGGCCUUAGGGUCGUAAAGCUCUUUCGCCUGUGAAGAUAAUGACGGUAGCAGGUAAAGAAACCCCGGCUAACUCCGUGCCAGCAGCCGCGGUAAUACGGAGGGGGUUAGCGUUGUUCGGAAUUACUGGGCGUAAAGCGCACGUAGGCGGACCAGAAAGUUGGGGGUGAAAUCCCGGGGGCUCAACCCCGGAACUGCCUCCAAAACUAUUGGUCUAGAGUUCGAGAGAGGUGAGUGGAAUUCCAAGUGUAGAGGUGAAAUUCGUAGAUAUUUGGAGGAACACCAGUGGCGAAGGCGGCUCACUGGCUCGAUACUGACGCUGAGGUGCGAAAGUGUGGGGAGCAAACAGGAUUAGAUACCCUGGUAGUCCACACCGUAAAACGAUGAAUG